ACAGGCUAUGGUCGAGUGGUUGACACCUUUGCCUCCGAAGAUGGCAAUGCUGGUUCGAGACCCGAUCCCUCCAAGAAACUUCACUUUGCUGCUUCUCGCUCGCUUUUCUGUUGAGCGCCAGCGUUCGAAAGGUUUCUUUUUUUACUUUUUUAUUCUUCUUUUGAUGACGUCAUCACAAAAAGAGUAUAAAAGGCGUCAGGAACGCGACUGUCAGUCCUUCACUCUCUGACAGCGAGCGCCACGCUGCUCUGGUCCACCUGCUGCGCCAGCCGCACUCCGUUCCAGAACUGACAAGCGUCAAGUUGCACUUUGGGAGUGUUCCCAACUUGCAAGCUAAAAAGUUUGCAGAAGCUAGCGCUAGCAGUUAGCGUCUUCAACGAUCACCAAAACGCAUUUCUUUGGCGUGCAUUUAGGUGCAACGAUAUAACUAAAGCUUUGAACGGCGGCAACGUCUCGACGACAGCGUCGUUUGGCCAAAGGUGCAAACCCUUCAAACGAGCCCGUCAUGGCCGACUGACUUUCUGUCUGCAUCUGGAGCAGAGGAAGCAGAUUGACUGCAAAAUGGCAAAAAUAUUUUAUUAGCAAAGCAUCUUGUCAAAUUGACUAAAGCAAACAUUUGUUCUUUUUCUUUUGUCUGCAGGAUCCAAAAUGGCCACCUUGCACUUCCCGCAUGGCUUCAUGAGACACUUGCAGGUCUAUUCUUGCUCAAUUUGCUUGUUAGGCUGAAACUGUCAAAGCAGAAUGGUUGUAACGUUACCGUGUCUUUCAGACCAGAGAGCUGUGGUUGGAGAGAAGUCCGGCGCAGGCCUCCAUUCCUCACUGGUGAAACGUGCACGCGUCCAAAUGUUUGGCACAUGUCAAACAUUUCAGCCUGUUCUUUCUUUUGUCAAUCAGGUGUUGCCAAAGGAUCUACUUACUGCAGCAUCAAUCUGCUGGUGUGGAUCUACAAGGUUUUAAACCUGUGGAAUCAUCAACCUGCUGACAGGUGACAACUAAUUACAAACUUGGCAUUGUUUAUCACUUACCUGCUUUUUUUCAUGCUUCCCUCUUCCUGUAAAGCACGGUCCAGUAAGGAUGCAGUUGGAAAUUCUGCCACCUGCUUGUCAAAGGUAAAAGCCCUCAAAACCAUGCAGAAAUUCCUCAAACAUGCCAAAAUGGCAGAUCAAUGAGUCCCUUGUUUGUCUUGUGUGCAGGUGUCCACCCUGGAGAGUAUGAACAUUCUAACAACUCCGCUUCCAGUCUACAGUUAAAAAAUAAAACCAGUGAACUUAAAUGAAGCUGAUGUGUCAAUAUUCCUUUUUCUUUCCAGGCAGAGGUGACAAAUUCUGGUCGACAAAGUGCAAAGCCUGCCACAGUUUGUCUUCAGCCACAAUUACUCUGAGCUCGUUCACCUGGUUCCGUGCUGCCUGAAGAGCCAGCUGCUGGUAAGAAAAGUAAAUAUUCUAGCCAACAUGUUUAAAAAUUUGAAUCCAUUUUUGUGUCCAGUGUGAAGCACCAUCAAGUACCUACUCGCAGCAGAAGCUGAGGACCAGAACAAAGCUACAGACCAGCAGCACUUCAAUUACUUGUUACUGCCUCAGCAACCUGAGAAGAAGCAAGGAACAAACUCCACCUCCUGGGUCAUGCAGCAAGGAACAAAAUCAGCUUCCAAAACUCGUCACAAACUCUCCUUCUACACUGGUAUGUUUCAUGUCAAAACCUUUUCUGCACAAAACGUUGACUUAGCAUUUUACUUACCUAUCUCUUUUUGUCUUGGGUCCAGGCAUGG